CCUCGCCUGGGCAUCCUGGAGCGGCGCUGGGCUGCAGGGGCCUCGGGGCUGGGCAGCGGAACAGCAGUGGCCAGUGGCUACCUGUGCAGCCCGCCCCUUGGGGAGGGUUUGGGGUUCAACGGCACCAGCCCGUCAGUGCCCACAGCACUGGGCCUUUGCAGGCGGGACAGAAGGAAGAGGACACCCGGGACAUUGAUACCGAGCGGUCUGGGGCCCUUGGUAUCCUUUGAGGAUGGAGAGGCUAUCUCUUGAGCCAGCUGAAGACAAAAUGGAGGAGUCUCCCAGGGCUUUAUAUAGUUUCUUUCUUGUGGGUGGAAAUUCCUCCCUUCCCCUGUGUAGAAUGCCCUCUACAAGAUGGAGUUUGGGAGUCACCUGGGCAAGUUACAUGUCCAUGCAUGACUUAGUUCUCUACAGGAAUGUUCCCAGGAAAGCUCAGAUGUGGACUGGCAUCUAUCAAAGUAUAUUGUCAGCUUAAGUGUUUCUUGAUUGGGCACUUACUGAGAAUAGUCUUUUCUCAAGAAGCUGACCAAAUGCUUCACUGAGGCUACUUAAAAUCAAACAAAUACACAGCCAAUCUUCAUAACUUUGAAUACAAGAAUGAUACAUGCAUACAAAUAGGAUGAAUAUAUUCAGUAGAUCAUAACCUUUGCAGAGAUAUGUUAGGUGUCAUAUGUAGCACAAAACAUAUUCCAGUUAUGUCAUAUUUACAUUCAUAAGCAUAUUUCCAUAAAGCAUUAUGGAAUGCAAUGUCACAACUGUGUCCAGUUCUGGUGUCCACAGUUCAAAAAGCAUAUUGAUAAAUUGUAGACGGGUCAGAGAACCACAAGAAUGAUUAAAGGAUUGGCAAACA